rnacentral:rRNA from 1 species
ACAUGCAAGUCGAACGAUGACUUCUGUGCUUGCACAGAAUGAUUAGUGGCGAACGGGUGAGUAACACGUGAGUAACCUGCCCUUAACUUCGGGAUAAGCCUGGGAAACUGGGUCUAAUACCGGAUACGACCACCUGGCGCAUGCCAUGGUGGUGGAAAGCUUUAUGCGGUUUUGGAUGGACUCGCGGCCUAUCAGCUUGUUGGUUGGGGUAAUGGCCCACCAAGGCGACGACGGGUAGCCGGCCUGAGAGGGUGACCGGCCACACUGGGACUGAGACACGGCCCAGACUCCUACGGGAGGCAGCAGUGGGGAAUAUUGCACAAUGGGCGAAAGCCUGAUGCAGCGACGCCGCGUGAGGGAUGACGGCCUUCGGGUUGUAAACCUCUUUCAGCAGGGAAGAAGCGAAAGUGACGGUACCUGCAGAAGAAGCGCCGGCUAACUACGUGCCAGCAGCCGCGGUAAUACGUAGGGCGCAAGCGUUAUCCGGAAUUAUUGGGCGUAAAGAGCUCGUAGGCGGUUUGUCGCGUCUGCUGUGAAAGCCCGGGGCUCAACCCCGGGUCUGCAGUGGGUACGGGCAGACUAGAGUGCAGUAGGGGAGACUGGAAUUCCUGGUGUAGCGGUGAAAUGCGCAGAUAUCAGGAGGAACACCGAUGGCGAAGGCAGGUCUCUGGGCUGUAACUGACGCUGAGGAGCGAAAGCAUGGGGAGCGAACAGGAUUAGAUACCCUGGUAGUCCAUGCCGUAAACGUUGGGCACUAGGUG